rnacentral:rRNA from 1 species
UAGGGAAUCUUCGGCAAUGGACGAAAGCCUGACCGAGCAACGCCGCGUGAGUGAAGAAGGCUUUCGGAUCGUAAAACUCUGUUGUUAGAGAAGAACAAGGACGUUAGUAACUGAACGUCCACUGACGGUAUCUAACCAGAAAGCCACGGCUAACUACGUGCCAGCAGCCGCGGUAAUACGUAGGUGGCAAGCGUUGUCCGGAUUUAUUGGGCGUAAAGCGAGCGCAGGCGGUUUCUUAAGUCUGAUGUGAAAGCCCCCGGCUCAACCGGGGAGGGUCAUUGGAAACUGGGAGACUUGAGUGCAGAAGAGGAGAGUGGAAUUCCAUGUGUAGCGGUGAAAUGCGUAGAUAUAUGGAGGAACACCAGUGGCGAAGGCGGCUCUCUGGUCUGUAACUGACGCUGAGGCUCGAAAGCGUGGGGAGCAAACAGG